CCUGCAUGGUUAGCAAAGGCUUUUAAAAAGCCCAGUUACUGGGGAGGCAGCUGAUGGUUCUCUUGAUCUCAGGAGUUCUGAACUAAAACAGACUAAGCUGAUUGGGUGUCUAAGCUAAGUUUGACAUUAAUAUGGUGAGCCCCUAAGAGUAGGGGUUACCAGGUUGCCUAAGGAUGGGUGAACUGGCUUGGUUAGAAAAUGGAACAAGUGAAAUCUCUCAUGUCAAAUUGUGGGGAGACUGAGUCAUGAGUAGUUACACUUCCAUCCUAUGUAAGAUAGAAAGAAUCAGUCUUU
rnacentral:SRP_RNA from 1 species